CGGCGGGAAGUUCGGGAACACAGGCGGAAGUGGAGUUUUGUGAGCGGUUUGAACCAUAGAUAUAAUAUACGUAUAUUAUGUCUAUGGUUUGAACUGCAGCGUCUAACGUUAAUCGUUCUGCAUCCUUGAAGCGGAAAUAUUCAUUUUUUUUAGUACAAAAAAAAAAGAGAAAUGGGCUAUAUCACAAUAUAAAGCUGUCCCCAUGCUCUUCUGGUGUGAACCUCACCUUUAUUACAUGAUUUAUAGGGAGUUCUUGCAGAUUUCUACUGUACCACUGCUUUUUACGUUCUUCGCUGAGCUUGACCAGAACUGACCACGAUUGAUGGUGAUCUUCAGUAGAAAAGGCGGGCAAUCAGGAACAUUUUUUUUUUAAAUCACACAGAUCAUGGUUGCCAUCUCCAAGAAGAGCCUGUGUCAUCAAGUCUCUGUGCACCUACUUGAAUGAAGACCCUGAAAAACUAGUGAAGGCAUAUUUGGAUUCAGACAUUGAGUCACAAAGUACCAUGGAGCAACUGUGAUGGGAGUGUAUAUCAUACUGAAGAAGGGAGCGCUGCCUGACGAUGACCCACAGGACAUUGGUGUCUUAAUUGAAGGUGUGGAAGUCAUCAGUGACUUGAGUAGCAUUGCACAGGCGUGUGCUCUGUUAUUUGGACUGAUAUACUGCUUGAACCUGAGCUACCCACCAGAGCGUAAAUGAACUUUUAAAGUCUUGCAGAAGAUCUUUCUAAAUCUAAACGGGCAGAGGUUGUCAUCCAAAGCACAAUUCCUCAAAAGCAAUCUUUUGGAGUAAGUGAGCUUGAAAAAGACAGAAAAGUCAAACAAAAUGCACUUGGAGUUCCUUAUGUAUAUGGACAACUUAUUUUUGGCACAGUUCCUCCAAACAAGCUACUGGAGCAAGUGAGCUUGAACAAGACUGGUGUACAUCAGACUAUAUUUUUAUUAUUGUUAUUUUACAGCUCAAAAAAUUGUUACACUCACAAUUGUUUGUUUUAUGUUAUGUUCAUUCAUGUUUAUGUUCAAAUGUUAAUUUUUGUUUGUGUCAGGCCAAGGUUUACCUUACAAAUUCCCAAAAAGGGUAGUGUUAAAAUUGCUUAAUUUUUAAGAAAUUUUAAGACCAAAAGGGUGUUAAAGUCCUACAAUCGACGCUUGGCGAUCAGUUUUCUCAAGAGCCAAGAUUUUGUUGGCUAAAUGUUUCUUAUACAUUGUGUCACAAACAC